UUAUGAGUGAGAACAUGUGGCAUAAGGAAAAGGAAAGAUCACCUCAGGCAAGUAGGAAAGACAACUAUUAUUUUACAGACAUAUUGUGCUUUGCUUUAAGUGUGUUCUCCCAUUGCACCCUGGACUUCAUAAGCAUUUUCUUCUUCACACCUAAUUGUUACUGCUUCUUUCUUUUCAGGGUCAUAUGCAUCUUGCUUACCAUUGUAUCUAUAGAGCCCAGCCCAGUGUCAGAAACAUGUGUUCAUCCUCCUUCAUAUGUGCUCGGGGUUGGAAGAGAAGAGUCCAUGCAUAUCAAGUAUGAAAUGAAAAUAAGGCGCUCCACCCAGAUGCUCUGAGCAUCGAGGGACAGCGUCGUCAGAAUUCUGAGAUUUGCGAUAGAAGCAGCUUCCUGUUGAUGCUUCACGCCAAUCUCCUUUUUGGCCCACACCCUUUCAUCUUUUACUUUUGAAAUUCCCUCUUGACUGAUUCUACUACUCCUAUGUCUCUGUUACAGCUCUUCCUUCAUGGUGCUACCUGAGUGGUCUUUAUUUAAUACAACCAAGCUUUGUCUUCCCUGUGGCCUCUUUAAUACAAGAGAGCUAUAGUGUUCACUAAUUUCAUCUCCAGCUCUCAAACCCACCCUUGUCCCCACCAAAUCCCUUUUUCCCCUGUUCACAUAAGGCUUUUGAAGCCUGUUGCUGGUCUUUGAAUUCUCCAUGGUCUUUUCUGGAUAUCUUUGUGCUUCUUGAUAUCUAGACCUGGGCUCCAUUUCUGUUUUCUAUUUUGCUUGGUAAACUGCUAGUCCUUCAAGAACAAGCUCAGAUAUUGUUGUUUUUGUUUGGGUCAUUCCAGUGAGCACCACCUCGCUUCCUCCCCUGUGCAGUUGUGGCAGUUGGUAUCUAAGUCAACUGUGACACAUCUUACUUUUCUGUCACCAUUUGUAUUUGUGCCUGUUUCUUCUGCUGGGUCAUGUACUCUGUAAGAACAGAGAUGGUGUCAUACUCAUGUUUACAUGCUGUACCUAGCAUGCUGCCUGGUACACAGUAGGUACUCCAUAAAUGCCUGCCAAGUUGAAUGGAAUCAAGAGUCACAGAGAUAAAGAAUAGCUGGCAAUGACUAUGUAAAACCUAAGAACGAUUCUGAAUUGUCUCCAGCAAUUAUUAAAGAGUAAAAAAUGAUUUUUAAAAAUGAUGUUAUGUUGGGUUUUAAAAGAUAAAUUUGGAAGGUAUAAGAAUAUCCAAAGCAGAGCAAAUGACCACUUUUUGGGCAAAUAAAAAAAAAAUUUUUUCUCUCCCA
rnacentral:lncRNA from 13 species